rnacentral:lncRNA from 1 species
AUUUUUCUUUUAUUAUUUUGAUCUAUUUGGCUUUGAUCUUUUUAUCAUCAGGUGUUGAAAGAGUCUCCGUCAACCUCCUUCACGAUCGUGCUCGCAGGAGGAGGAAUUCCGGUCGUACCUUGGGGUGUUAUUUCCGGUUAAUCCCGCACGUAAGACUGGAAUACGCCUUAGAACAGUACCUUGCACGCUUCUGGAUCAAUUAAGUAUUUAUUUGGAUUUAGCGAUCAUCCGUAAGUUGAUUUAUUUAUUUUUUAUCACAAAAUUAGUUAAAUCUUUAAUCAUAAUCAGAUUUCCAGUGCGGUAAUUUGUAUUAAAAGUCUAAGGCGUAUUCAAUUUGAUUGUGAUUAAAGAAAAAUCUAAAACUAGGGUACUAAUCGUAUAAAUUAAUUUAAUUAUAUAAUAAAUAUAUAUAUAUAUAUAUAAUAUAUAUAUAUAUUAUAUAGUACUAUAUAUAAUAUAAUAUUAUAAUAUAUAUAAAUUUGUUUGUAUAAUGGGUGCAUUCAAAUAUAAAUUUUUCGGAAUUAGCACUUUAACCCGUAAAUGCGUAUUAUUUAAUUUAUUGUUUAAAUUACAUUUUAUUUGGUGAUUAUUUUGUUAAAAAAAUGCUUUUACUGUAGAUUCUUUGUUAAAAAAAGAUCUGCUACUGUAUAAAACUCUUUUAAAAAAAAAAUAAUUUUGCUACAGAAAAAAAUAAUUUUAUUAGUGUGCAGAGUUUGCUACAGUAAAAUCCUUUGGUAAUUAUAUACUAUAGUAUUUUUUAGACUGGUUGUACGGAUUGUUUUAAAAAUAAAUAUCUGUUACAGUAAAUAUUUUUAUAGCCUUUAAAAAAAAAAAGAAAGAGAAGAUUUGAAUGGGAUUCGAAACUAUGGUUGCUCACAUUUUUUAAAGAAGCAAACCCUAACCUGUAAAGCCCAAAUUUAUUUUUUGUUUUUAUUACUGUUUUAGCAUUACUUAUACUCUGUCUGCAACAUCAAAUAAUAAUUUGAUUGCAUUUGUCAUUUACUCGAAAAUAUCUAAUUGAAGUAAAAUUUUUAAAAUUGAUAGGGCCUUUUAUUUACUGUUGAUGCGAACCCUAUGAAACAUGAUUAAUUUCAUAAUUUUAAAUUUUGGUGUAUCUCAGAAAUUGAGGGGAGUUCUUUUAUCAAUUUGAUAAAUUUUAAUACUAUGAUUGCCCUUAUAAUUUUAUUUUGUUUAUCUUAAUGUUUAGCUUGGAAAAGAAUUUGAUAAAUUCUAAAGUUGGCAAAUAAAUUAUAUUGAGACAUAAAUUUAUUAGAUGGUUAUUUUUUCAUAAUGUUACUUAUUUGAGUUUUAUCAGAUUUGAUUAGAAUCUUCUAGAUUACUUGACAAAAAACAUAAAUAGAACUAAAGUUCUGAUAUCAUCGAGAGGGAUGAGAAUUUGUUCAUAAAGAGUCUUCCUGUAGCGGGAACCCAACCUUUGUGAUAGGAGAUCCCUUGAAGAAGAUUCAAUGUGGUAAAAAUAAGUUGCUAGGUUGGCCAAAGAACACUUUCUACAGUUUAUAUAGCGGAGCUUUAGCUCCAAUUCCAUUCCUAUGGUGAGUAGUGCUCUGUGUAGUGGAUUAGGUUGAGCUGAUAGCUCUUAAUGGGAUCCGAGGCGGUAACUUUCGCGAGAUGUGACUCUACACAUAUCCCUGAAGGAAACCACCUAUAUGAUAGUAUCCGUAUAUGGCCGCGGCUAUGUGAUGUGGGCUAUACAUAGAAGUUCUGAUGAAAAAUCAAGAUACUGUGCAUGGUCAUUAACGCACAGACCCGCGACGAAUAAUUCUGUACUCUGUGUGUGAUAGUUGAAGUUAGGGUCAAAGGAACAUAGUUCAAGAUCUGCUUCACUCCGAUUCUUUCUGAUGAAAACUAUUUACGCUAAGUGGGGUUAAGUCUCUUAAAGACACCUUGCCUAUUGCAUAAUAUAAACACCCGAUGAUUUAUUUAUUUAUUUGUUUACUUUUUAUUUUGUGAUUUUAAAUUUUGUGAGUGAUUGUUGGUGGAAAAUCCAAAAUCUCUAAAUAUCAUUUUAAUUUUAUAAUUAUUCUCAUUUAUUGUCUUUUAUUAUGUUAAUUAAUUGGAUGGAUUAAAUUUAAUUUAUUCCUUCUUUAUUUCACAUAAAAGCAUGAAUUAAAUGGAAUUAAUUAUUGGAGUAGAAUGUUGGGGUCUUCAACGUUCUAUUCACACCCUUUUAUAUAGUACUCUUUCCACUGUUCACUAUAUGAACAUUGCAAAGAGAAACAUUGGAAGACAUUUUUUUUUUAUUAUUUUGAUCUAUUUGGCUUUGAUUUUUUUGUCAUCGGGUGUUGAAAGAGUCUCCGUCAACCUCCUUCACGAUCGUGCUCGCAGGAGGAGGAAUUCCGAUCGUACAUUGGAGUGUUAUUUCCGGUUAAUGCCGCACGUAAGGACGAUAAUACGUCUUAGGCUAGUGCCUCGCACGCUUCCGGAUCAAUUAAAUAUUUAUUUGGAUUUAGCGAUCAUCUGUAAGUUGAUUUAUUUAUUUUUUAUCACAAAAUUAGUUAGAUCUUUAAUCACAAUCAGAUUUCUGUGCUGUAUUUGUUCUAACAAUCUAAGGUGU